rnacentral:miRNA from 1 species
CACAUGGGCUUGCAUGGGAUGGUC